rnacentral:rRNA from 1 species
GGCCGCGGGAAUUCGAUUCAGGCCUAACACAUGCAAGUCGAGCGGUAGAGAGAAGCUUGCUUCUCUUGAGAGCGGCGGACGGGUGGGUAAUGCCUAGGAAUCUGCCUGGUAGUGGGGGGUAACGUUCGGAAACGGACGCUAAUACCGCAUACGUCCUACGGGAGAAAGCAGGGGACCUUCGGGCCUUGCGCUAUCAGAUGAGCCUAGGUCGGAUUAGCUAGUUAGUGAGGUAAUGGCUCACCAAGGCUACGAUCCGUAACUGGUCUGAGAGGAUGAUCAGUCACACUGGAACUGAGACACGGUCCAGACUCCUACGGGAGGCAGCAGUGGGGAAUAUUGGACAAUGGGCGAAAGCCUGAUCCAGCCAUGCCGCGUGUGUGAAGAAGGUCUUCGGAU